GGUUAUCCCGUCCCACAACUUGACUGUCUUAGCUGGCGCCUCGCCGUGGAGACGAACAACCUCCAAAACUGGAAAUUGGUGCCUAAAGAGUGUGAAAACUAUGUAGGUCACUACAUGUUAGGCAAAUUACAAUAUCGACGUGACUGUGAGUAUGUUGCCAAGCAGGCUAUUGAAUAUGCCAAAGGCCUCAAACUAAAUAGAGAUGGAAAGGACGUUUGGGUCUUUGAUGUUGAUGACACUACUCUCUCAAAUCUUCCUUACUAUGCUCGAUCUGAUGUUCGUUUUGGGUAACAAAAAUAAAUCAUAAUUUCUUUUUUACUACGUUUUUUUAUAGGGAAAAAUGACAAAUAUGCCCUCAAACUAUUGUAAAUGGUAUGCAGAUACCCUCCGUCAUAUUUUUGGGACAUUGGUGCCCCCACCGUCCAAAAACUAGAGCAUAUAUACCCUUUAUACUAACGGAUAUACACGUGUGAUAAUCUUAUCCACCGAUCCGACAUUUAUUAUAUAUCAGAUCAACGGAUAAGAUUGCACCAUGUGUUUCUAUUUAGUCUUCCGUUAGAGUUAAGGGCAUAUAUGCUCUAGUUUUUGAACAGCAGGGACAUCAAUGUCCCAAAAGUAUGACGAAUGGUAUAUGCAUACCAUUUACGAUAGUUCAGGGGUAUAUUUGUCCUUUUCCCCUUUUUUAUAUAUAUGCAACUAGUGAUGUCAUACGUAAUUUUGUAUAUAGGACUAUAGCGUUGAACGAUACAAAGUUUAUUGAGUGGCUUGCUGAGGGAAAAUUGCCCGUCAUUCCUUCGAUACUGGGUGUAUACAAGACCUUGUUAUCUCUUGGGAUCAAGCCCGUUAUAAUUACAGGGGCUCCAGAGAAUUUUAGACAAUCAAGGAUUGCUAAUCUCAAGAAAGCUGGUUAUAGUAACUGGCUAAAGCUCGUACUAAGGUAAUUAACCGAUACUUCUAUUCAUAUCUUAUUUUACAUGACACUAUUUAAGUAUGUUUCGAACAUUUAUAUAGAUAUAGAGUAAUACUUUGACAUGAUUAUUGCAGGGGUGGAAAUAAUUCAAAAUCAGCAGUAGAGUAUAAAUCGAGCAAGAGAAUGGAGUUGGUAAAAGCUGGAUAUAGAAUUGUUGGUAAUAUUGGAGAUCAAUGGACUGAUUUAAUCGGAGAAAUCGUUGGAGCUCGUACUUUCAAAGUCCCUAACCCUAUGUACUACGUUGGUUAAUACUAAGAAAUUUUAAUUAAGCAUGCUAAUAAUUAACAAAGGAAGCAAGUAACUUUUUAAUUUUGUCACAUGUGAGAUAUGAUUAUAAGCUCACUGUUCCAGUAUAAUUUAUCAUGUAUUUGACUUUUCCUUUUUCCUUUUCCCACUCCCUUUAUCAUAAUUAAUAGUAAUAAAGAAUUGCUUCAAUUUUCUUUUUUCUCAAUUGGCAAUUGCAUUCCUUUAUUUUAAAAUUAUGAAAUGUUUUAGUUUCAUCAGUAUAUAAGGCCUCUCUAACAAAAAUUAUUUUAGGGGUAAUAAAUAUACACAUAUUGACAAAUAGGGCUAAAAUAUUUAUCGGCAUGUAUUAGUUAAUUGUCAAUGAAUUCAAUGUCAUUAUAGGCUUUAGGGACAUUUACACGCAGGGCUAAUUACCGAUAAAUUGAAAUAUAUAUUUAGCGGCAAUUAAACUAUUGUCGUAAAUAAAUUACGUGAAAGAUCAUUUUUUUUAAAUUAGUGAACGCACAAUUAACAUCUUAUUUUAUUGAGGAACUUUCGCAUAUCGCUACUCAAAAAUAGUCUAAUUACUCUCCAUAACAAACACCCACUAUAUAUUGUCAACAAUCAUUGUCAAUUGCCGCCACCAGCUCCACACUUACAAUUUAUCACCAUUGACAGUCGUCAUGAUCACCACAUGAUAUCUCUUUCCAUCACCAUUACUCAAUAUAAUCCUCGAUCAUUCGACACCAACAAUCAACAUCGCUAGCCAUCAUCACCUCUAACUGUCAUAUAAUUUUUUUAAGAAAAUAUUUUAUAAUAGUAUUGAUUAUUUUGGUAUUUUAUUUAAAUUUUAUAUUUAUUAAUUUUUAAAGAAAAAUAAAUUUCAGAUAUUCAAAUGUUGAGAACAAGCCAUUUUACUUAUUUAGUAAUCAAUUUUUUGAUACAACAGUACAUCUUAUAAAUAUACAAAUAUACAUACAUACACGAUCGUCUAAAUCUUAACAAAAAGAAAGAUGGUCUUAUACUUGCACGGAGAAGUGUGUUCUUAAGAACUACAUUAGUUCUUUGUUAGGAGAGACCCAAGAUAUAUACAGUCAAAUUAGAUAAUUAUAAUGAAAUAAUAAUAUUACAACGAAUAUAAUAAAUCAUUCCUUGAUCUUUAAGAAGAAUUAAUAUGUUUUAGCACUCACGUGGAUAAACGAGUACAGAAAGCAUAAGAAUGUUAUGGUUAUCAUCAUAUCAGAAUGUGGAGGUCUGGGAAUAUAUAUAAACAAUUGAGUACUAAAUUAUUAAACUGUAAAAAGUAAAAAUUACUCCUAUUAAAAAUACAACUUGUAAUCGUAAGUUUAACGACAAAAGUUGAACAUGUGACAUUAUAAUUAAAUGGGUUAGACGGUUUCUUAUUUUUAUUAUUAUCUCCUCUAAGGGGGUUGGUGGAAAGACAGUGGGAUGUCAAACCACGCCUGCAGGGACAUGACAAUUUAUUUAUUCGAUAAAAUUUUGAUCCGGUAUCUUUUUAUUUUUCUAUUUCAAUGUGGAAUUUUAAUUUUUUUAUUUUAUUUUAAAAUAAAUAAUGUUUCACAUCAUUAAGAAGAUAUUAAUAAUGUUUUUAAUUUUAUUCUCAUUUAAAAAAUAAAAUUUAUUUAAGUAAGAAAAUACUUUAAAAAUACAUCUUUUUCAAGGUAUUUAUUAAGAAUAAGUUAGUAAAAAUACAUCUUACGUUUUAUGGAUGAGUAAUUUUUUUAAAGGGCUUGUCCAAAUAAAAAAUAUCACUUAUUUUGAAAUAAAGGGAGUAGAAGUUUUUUGUUUAUUUCUAAUGUCGAUGCAGUUAAAUUAACAAUUAUGAGAACCAUAAGAAUACGCUGAAAUUAGGGUAAGUAAGUGUUAUUACUCCCUCCGCUUCAAAAUAAAUUAAUUUUCAACACUUAUAAUUCUAUGGUCCAAAACAAAGUAAAUUUUUCAAAGCCUAAGAUGUAUUACUUAUUUUCUUCGAAAAUUACUCAUCUCGUUAUUGAGUAUGUUUUUCAAAUAUCUCUAGAUUCAAAAAGAAUUCUGGAAGAAGCAAAAAAAUAGUAUUGACUUUAAUUAAUAUCACUAAUAAAUUUUCUUCACGCCUCAAAAAUUCAUUUACUUUUAAAUUAGAGGGUGUAUGAAUAAAUAAAAUACAUGUACGUGACCCGCAAUAUAUUGACUUGCACUCUACCUGUCCUGGCUUGGAAAGGGGAUGAUGCUUUUGCUUGUUAGUAUUUAUAAUAUUACUCAGUAUAAUCGGAAGAAUAAAAUAUUGAUCAAGAGAUCGAUUGGGAUAUAUAUUUAUAGGAUAAGAUAACUUAAUUUGAUCAUGUGGAUCACGUCCGAUACGAUUGUUACACAAAUAUAGUAUCGAGUAUCGACUAUUAUGGUCAUUUAACGCGAUUAAUUGAAAGCCGAAAUAUGCUAGUGUACAUGUUCCGGACCCAGGACCAAGUUCUAGGAUGAUUCGGUGGUCUAUGGUCGAUUUGGGUUGACUGCGUCCUUUCUCUGUUUGGCACGGUCAAAUAAUCUCAAACCAGUGUAAUAUUGUCACUUAAAAAACUUAUUGUUAAAUAAAAUGUUUUGACAGACUAAAGAUGAAAUAUGGAAAUCUUCCCAGCCGAACAUGACCUUUUUAAAAGUACAAGGACAUGAAAAAAAACAAAUCCUCAUAGAGACAAGUCUAUCCUGUCAAAUCAUAUCAUAAUUCAUGUCGUGAAACACGUGAUGACCUAGUUGUCUGAAAACUAGGUCUUACUGACACCUCAAAAUUAAGCUAUCUCAAGAGAGGAUGUAUGUGGGCAAUUUUGAUUUUGAAAGUUUCAACAUUGGGUAUGAUGGACCUGCUCUGAUACCAAGUGAAAGUGUUAUUAUUUCAUCUUAAAAGCUUAAACUAUUAAAAAAAAAAUAUUUUUAUUAAUUAAUUAUAUAUAUUCUCAACAAGCCGCUUGAUUGCUUUUGAGAGGUAGUUGAGAUUGAGGAUCUUAUAUAAGGGCACCAUAUCCGAGCAAUAUAAUCUCAACAUCUUCUUUCUUCUCUUCCAUCAAAAUGAGGUGUUUCACUAUUCUCUUCUUUUUUUCAGCUAUAGUGGUUGUGGCAUUGGCCUCUAAUGUCGAAGAGGUCAUUAGCCAAGUAGUAGAAAUUCACCGUCUAAGACCACAAACUGGUUCCGCUGGUUAUACCGUCCCACAAUUAGACUGUCUUAGCUGGCGCCUCGCGGUGGAGACGAACAACCUCCAAAACUGGAAAUUGGUGCCUAAAGAAUGUACAAACUAUGUAGGUCAUUACAUGUUAGGCAAACAAUAUCGACGUGACUGUGAGUAUGUUGCCAAACAGGCUAUUGAGUAUGCCAAAACCCUCAAACUUGGCGGAGAUGGAAAGGAUGUUUGGGUAUUUGAUAUUGAUGAGACCACUCUCUCAAAUUCUCCUUACUACGCUCGAUCCGACGUUGCUUUUGGGUAAAAAAUUAAAAACAUUAGUAUAAUAAUUUUUAUGUGUGUGUCCGCUUAUUACGUUUUCUAGUAGGUACAUAGAUAUCUAUAUAUGUAUGAGAAAUUUCAUAAAUAGCGUUAUUAAUUAGCAUCCAUGUUUGCAAAUAUAGUUAAGAUUUUGUUUUAAUCCAAAACAUAUGGAAUAGUAGUAGCAUUUUGAUUUCUAAAUGUAGUAAAAUACACUUACAACAUCGCAUCCUAACUAAAAUUUCAUAUCUGAUUGUAAUUAUAUGUAUGUACGAUCAAGUAGAUAUUCAAUGCAUUUUUGUGCAGGGCUAUAGCGUACAACAACACAAAGUUUAGUGCGUGGCUAGCGGAGGGAAAAGCACCAGCCAUUCCAUCGAUACUGGGUGUAUACAAGACUGUGUUGUCUUUGGGGAUCAAGCCCGUUUUCAUUACAGGGACCAGAGAGAAUUUCAAACAAGUUAGGAUUGUCAAUCUCAAGAAAGUUGGUUAUAGCAACUGGGCAGCGCUUAUACUAAAGUAAGCAAUAUGUUCGUAUUUUCAAUACUGUUACAUAUUUUUUUAUGUAAAUUUAUUUGACUGGACGAUGGAUGACUUUACAGGGGAGAAAAUGAUUCGGGAUCAGCAGUGCAAUUUAAAUCAAGCAAGAGAACAGAAUUGGUUAAAGCUGGAUAUAGAAUUGUUGGUAAUAUUGGAGAUCAAUGGACUGAUUUGAUCGGAGAAAACGUUGGAGCUCGUACAUUCAAAGUCCCUGACCCUAUGUAUUACAUUAGUUGAUUCUAAGCAAAUUUUAAUCAUCAAGCAAGCUAAUUAAUUAACAAAGGGGGGUAGCUUUUUUAUUUCAUGUUUUAUGUCUUUCGACUUUUCCUAUUCACCCUCACUUUGCUAUAAUAACGACUUGCUUCAACAUUUUAAUUGUUUUCUUCUUGGCAAUUUUGUUCCUUUAUCUUAAAAAAACACGCACAUCUCUAUUCAUUUAAUUUCUCAUUGUAGCCUAGACUCAAGAGGAUCAGAUCACCACAUGACGUUAAUUAAUUAAAUUGCGCAACUUAAACAAAGUGCAAUAAUGGAACAGGAAGAAAUUUCUUUUUUUUUUUGUUAUAAAAAUAAACAACCCAUACCUAACGAUUAUUGAAAUUGCUUUGUGCGAUGUGAUAGCUUUAGAUGUUGAAAGGUUUUCAUCAAAUAAUAUGAUUUUUCAUUUAUGGUAUACCUAUACAUUUUUUUAGUUUCAAAAUAUUAUUGUCCUUUUGUCUCAAAAUAUUUGUUAUUUUAGAUGUUCAUGAUAAAAUUAACUUUUUUUUUCUUAUUUUACCUUUAAUUGUAAAUACUCAUUUUUGAAGACUAAAUACACUUCAAACAUAUAUUAUAUAAAUAGAGAAAUCAAUAAAAAUAGAUUAUAUCUGAAGACAUUAAUAAGGAUAAAAUAUCAUUACUCCUAACUAAUAUUUUCUUAAAAACGUGUAAAUAAAAAAUACAACAAGUGUUCUGAGACAUAGCUAGUAGUAUAUGUCAAGUGCACCAAUAGUUAUCACAAUUAAUUUAGCUAAUGUUUGACCAUAGAUAUUUGAAAGUAAAUUUUAAAACUUUAUCAUUCAAAUAUUUUUUUCCAAGGGAUAGCUUAGUAGUAGAGUGGUCUUACCUAUUGAUCGUAAUACAACAUUAAAUUUUAAAAAUUACAAUGUCAAUAACUCAAUUUUUCAAAUUUCAACUUUAAAAUUUAUAAUUAAUCCAGAGUUUAGCUAUCAAGUGAUAUGUCGGUACAAAUUAAUAUAUUAAUGAGUACUAGGCGUAUGAGUUUGUCUGCAAUAAUUCUAAACCCAUAUUCUAUUCUAUUUUUUUCUCCAAUAAAAGCCAUAGAAAAAGACGAAUAAUUGUGAUGGGGGACUCAUUAUUAGGGGUUUGAUAACUAUACCUUGCAUUUUAUAUUGCAACUAGUACGUGCGUAUGAAACAAGACUAGUUGCACUAUUUAGAAGCAAAUAUAAAAGACAACUAGAUAAUGGUUACCAGAUUCACAUGGAUUGUAGUACAGUGGUGAAUUGCUCCACCCUUAAUCAGAGGUUUCAAGUUCGAGCUUUGAGUAUGAAGAAAAUUCUGUUGAGAGCGCCGCUCCAAAAGACACUGCAGUGUGCAAUUCAAAUUUAAUUGAGGCUCCAACACAUGUUCUAGAUACCGGAUGAAAAACCAAAAACAAAAAAAAUAAUGAUUACCCGUAUGUGUUUUGUCAAAUUAAAUGAAAUUAUCUCUUGGCCUGAUUGGUCCAUCUUUAAGUACGCUAGAGCCUAGCUGAAUAAGUGUUUUUUUAAUAUACAUGCAGUGAAAAGUAAACUAAAAAUAAUAGUAAUAAUUAAAAUCAGAGAUCAAAUCAAUUUGGCAUUAUAUAUAAAAUUUUAAAAUUUAUUUUUAUACAUAAAAAUAUUUAUUUUGAUAUAAUUUGUAAAUAUUUCUUAUACUUUUUCAUAAUUCUUAUCUUUUAACAUAUUAUUUCAAGUUUUGAGACGUAAAAUUUUGAAUGGUCCAAUGAAGGUUAUAGUCCAUAGGUAUUGGUAACUCUAAUAAAACUUGAACCACUACUAAUGCUAACAAAAAAAAAAUUAAUUCAACACUAAGAAUGACAAUAAUGUCCAAUAUUUGUUUUUUAGUUUUACAUUGACUUAAACAUUUAAAAUACAUUAUUUAAUUUUAGUUUUCUUUAAUGUUUAAUCAUGUAAUUAAUACUUAUUAGACUUAUUAGCAUGAUUUAGUACUUUUAAUCAUUUUCAUUAUGACUUAUUAAUUUUCAAUAUUUAUUUUAUGGGAUUUCAUUAUUAUUUUUUGUUGGAUAUUUUAGUGUAAUCACUUAUCUCAUAUUUUGUGUUAUUCUCUUACGAAACUCCUUAGAUAGUUGUAUUUUGGUAGGACUAAGGUAAUUAGAUGUUUGUAUGAAUAAUUUACCGGAAAACCCCGAAAAAAUUUGAUAACCCGAGUUUGAAAAAUCAAUUAGUUUUAUUAAUUUGAUUUGGUUUAUAUAUUUAAAAUACGACAUAAAUAGUUUGGUUUGAUAAUUAAAAACUCAUAACCAACUCGGCCAUGUACAUCCCAUUGGAAUAAAAAUGUUUUGGGAACAAAAAACGAUAUUGUUAAUUUUAUAAAUUUAAUAGUUGUGAGAACCAUUUUCAAACUAAGGUACGUAAAGAGCACGUAAACGAAAUUAAGAGAAAGUCAGCUAUAUUAUCAUGUUAUGACACACGUUGAUUGAGAGUCUUAUUUAAGCCACUAUAUCCAUGAUCACAAUAUCUUCUUUAUUCUCUUUCAUCUAUUUGGUUAUAUAAAAACAUGAAUAAUAUGUGGUUUUUCACUAUUCUCUUAUUUUUUUCAACUAUAGUAGCCAUGGCAUUGCCCUCCAAUGUUGGUUAUCCCGUCCCACAACUUGACUGUCUUAGCUGGCGCCUCGCCGUGGAGACGAACAACCUCCAAAACUGGAAAACUAUGUAGGUCACUACAUGUUAGGCAAAGUACAAUAUCGACGUGACUGUGAGUAUGUUGCCAAGCAGGCUAUUGAAUAUGCCAAAAAGGCCUCAAACUAAAUAGAGAUGGAAAGGACGUUUGGGUCUUUGAUGUUGAUGACACUACUCUCUCAAAUCUUCCUUACUACGCUCGAUCUGAUGUUCGUUUUGGGUAACAAAAAUAAAUUAUAAUUUCUUUUUUACUACAUUUUUUUAAUAGGGAAAAAUGACAAAUAUUCCCUCGAACUAUCGUAAAUGGUUUGCAGAUACCCUCCGUCAGAUUUUUGGGAUAUUGGUGCCCCGCCAUCCAAAAACUAGAGCAUAUAUACCCUUUAUACUAACGGAUAUACACGUGUGAUAAUCUUAUCCACCGACUCGACAUUUAUUAAAUAUUAGAUCGACGGAUAAGAUUGUCACUAUUUCGUUAGAGUUAAGGGCAUAUAUGCUCUAGCUUUUGGACAACAGGGACAUUAAUGACCCAAAAGUAUGAUGAAUGGUAUAUGCAUACCAUUUAUGAUAGUUCAGGGGUAUAUUUAUCCUUUUCCCCUUUUUUAUAUAUAUGCAACUAGUGAUGUCAUACGUAAUUUUGUUUACAGGACUAUAGCGUUGAGCAAUACAAAGUUUAUUGAGUGGCUUGCUGAGGGAAAAUUGCCAGUCAUUCCUUCGAUACAGGGUGUAUACAAGACCUUGUUAUCUCUUGGGAUCAAGCCCUUUUUAAUUACAGGGGCUCCAGAGAAUUUUAGACAAUCAAGGAUUUCUAAUCUCAAGAAAGCUGGUUAUAGUAACUGAUUAAAACUCGUACUAAGGUAAUUAACCGAUACUUCUACUCAUAUCUUAUUUUACAUGACACUAUUUAAGUAUGUUUCGAACAUUUAUAUAGAUAUAGAGUAAUACUUUGACAUGAUUAUAUUAUUGCAGGGGUGGAAAUGAUUCGAAAUCAGCAGUAGAGUAUAAAUCGAGCAAGAGAAUGGAGUGGGUAAAAGAUGGAUAUAGAAUUGGUAAUAUUGGAGAUCAAUGGACUGAUUUAAUCGGAGAAAACGUUGGAGCUCGUACUUUCAAAGUCCCUAACCCUAUGUACUACGUUGGUUAAUUCUAAGAAAUAUUAAGCAUGCUAAUAAUUAACAAAGGAAGCAAGUAACUUUUUAAUUUCGUCACAUGUGAGAUAUGAUUAUAAGCUCACUGUUCCACUAUAAUUUACUACUCCCUCCGUCCCUAUUUACUUGUCCAUAUUUCCUUUUUUUGUUGUCCCUAUUUAGUUGUCCAUUUUGACAAAUCAAGAAAGGACAACAAAUUUUUUCCUAUUAUACCUUUAUUUAUACUUCUUGAAAAUUGUAAAAGUGUAUGUUGUUUCCCUCCAAUUUAUUUCACUUGAAUUCAAAUAAGUGAUUGUAAUUUUGAAGUAAAAAGUUGUCAUAAGGGUAAAAUUGUAACUUCACUGUGCUAAUCAUUGUUGUCUUAAUUUGUGUGCCAUUUCUAAAGUGGACAACUAAAAAGGGACGGAGGGAGUAUCAUGUAUUUGACUUUUCCUUUUUCCUUUUCCCACUCCCUUUAUCAUAAUAAUAAAGAAUUGCUUCAAUUUUCUUUUUUCUCAAUUGGCAAUUGCAUUCCUUUAUUUUAAAAUUAUGAAAUGUUUUAGUUUCAUCAGUAUAUAAGGCCUCUCUAACAAAAAUACUUUUAGGGGUAAUAAAUAUACAUAUAUUGACAAAUAGGGAUAAAUAUUUAUCGGCAUGCAUUAGUUAAUUGUCAAUGAAUUCAAUGUCAUUAUAGGCUUUAGGGACAUUUACACACAGGGCUAAUUACCGAUAAAUUGAAAUAUAUAUUUAGCGGCAAUUAAACUAUUGUCGUAAAUAAAUUACGCGAAAGAUCAUUUUUUUAAAAUUAGUGAACGCACAAUUAACAUCUUAUUUUAUUGAGGAACUUUCGCAUAUAGCCACUCAAAAAUAGCCCAAUUACUCUCCAUAUCUAUAGUUUGAUAAUUACAAUUCGUAGCUACAUGUAAUAGGGAGGAGAGAGGCAAGCGAGACUGGGAGAUAGAGGAGAGAGGCGAGCGAGAGAGGGCAAAGAGUGGGAGAGAGGUGAAUUGUAUAUGUACAUCGGUUAGAUAAUUGUAUAUUAUACAUAUGCAUUUGUGUAUAUGGCAAGCGAGAUUGGGAGAGGGGGGGAGAGGCGAGCGAGACUGGGAGAGGGAGGAGAGAGGUGAGCGAGAGAGGACAAUAAUUUGUAUAAUUCACAUCUCAUUUGUAUAAUUCACGUUGUUUUUGUAUUAAUUGAGUAAUAUAAAGUCUGGAAUUUAUACAAAUAUAAUAAAACUCGAAAUAACAAAUUGAUACAAAUAUAAAUAUAUGAACUUUUAAACAUUUAUACAAAAUAUAUUAUACAAAUUACAUUAUAUAAAUUAUAUUAUACAAAAUCCAAAAACUACACGUUUAUACAAACUUUAAAAAGUUAUACACAAAAAGAUUGAAUGUAUAUGAUGACAAAACUGAAAACCCAAAGGAUAUCAUCGUCAUAUACAAUUAUAAACAAUCGUAUACAAAUACAAAUCAAACAAAGAAUUGUUAGCUGCGAAUUAUACAAAUAUGGCGAAUUAUACAUAUACAAACGUGACUAAUAUACAAACUGGUAGUCAGCCCACAUAAUUAAUGUAUAAUGUUAGUCGUGAGUGAUAAUUAUAGCAAAACUAUAGCUAUGAUGAGUAAUUAAAUAGUAUAAGUUUGUUUAACCGCGUAAUUUUCCCUAUUUUAUUUAUAGACAUAUAUUUUUUUGUCAGCUAAAAUAUCAUCAGUCUGUUGCAUGUAAAUAACUAGGUGGUUAUAUACAAUUAACAUGACAAUAACAAAUAUUUAAUCAGGCUCAAUAGAUUUUAUUAAUUAGCUAGUAAACCAACAUCUUAAUUAACGUAUACAGUGGAGAUGACCAAAUUUUCCAAGCAUAUACUUGUAUUUUAAAAUCAAAUUUAUACACAUCUUAUAUUAUGAAAAUUGUACACAGCUUACACCUCUAUACAAUAUAUUCAUUGAAACUAAUAUACUAAUAUAUGACUAGUAAAAGAUAAAUUGGAAUUGUAAACAAUUUUUUAAUGUAAUUUUCAUAUAAUUUUGAAGCAAAAGAAUUUUAAAAAACGAAUAUAAAAAUGAGAAAUUUCUAUAUAAUAAAAUAUUAUAAUUAAUAAAAAUAUUGAUAACUUACAUGUUCAAAUUGUAAUGAACUACAAAAAAAUCAAUCAAAUUGACAAAAACAAGAAUAAAAAAAAAAAAAGACGCAGGAAAAAGGAAGAAAAUAAAAUCUGAAUCAGUAUUAAUUUUUUUUUUAUAUCUAUGUAUUUUUUGUCAAAUAAAAAUCAAGAUUAUGAAAAGAGAAGAAAAAAAAUACAUAAAAAGAGAAUUUAGAAAGUGAUGUUAAAAAAAGAAAAGGAGAAGUAAGGGAAUGGACCCUCAAUAGUAUAUUUUUGACAUGGUAUGCCCCCGCCCACCUUAAAAAAUGUUAAUCCAACUUAAUUGAUCACACCUGUUAUUGCCAAAAUAUCUUGGUGUAUUCCGGACCCAGGACCCAGGACCCAGUUCUAGGGUUUUGGAUUGUUCAGUUCAGUGGUCGAUUUGGCCAAAUUGUCUUCAUUCCAAUUUCCAAUAUAUAUAUAUAUAUUUCAACUAAUACAAUUAACAUAGAACGUUACUUAACAAACUUAUAUUAUAUUAAACAUGGGAAACUGAAAAUCCUCCUUCCCAAAACCUAACAUCUUAAAAGGUAUUUUUUCAGUUUCAAAAUUAAUGACCUCAUUUUCUUUUUAGUUUGUUUUAAAAAGAAUGACUCUUUUCUUUUUUUUGAAAACAUUUUAAUUUCAGUUUUUCACAUAACAUGUUUAAUACUAGAAGAUUAAAGAACAUCUUGAUACAUUUUACAUAACUUUAAUUUUAAAUCACAAAAUAGAGAAGUCUUUUUUAUUUUUCUUCAACUCCGUAACAAGUCAAAUCAGAUCUCUUUUUUUUUUUUUUAAACGUAGAGGAGUACAAGCGCUAAGUUACAAAGUAAAUGACAAAGAAAAAAAAGUUUUUAACAAAAACUCUAAAGAGAACCACAUAAUGCUUAUCUUGUCAAAUGUUGUGAAAAACGUGAUGACCUAGCUGUUUGAUUGAUUUUUAGGAAGUUGAGAUUGAGGCUCUUAUUUAAGACACCCUAUCCUAGGUAUAUGGUCACAACAUCUUCUUUCUUCUCUUCCAUCAAAAUGAGGUCAUGUUUCACUAUUCUCUAGUUAUUUUCAGCGAUAGUAGCUGUGGCAUUGGCCUCUAAUGUUGAAGAGGUGAUAAGCCAAGUAGUAGAAAUUCACCGUCUAAGGCCACAAGUAGUAAAAUUCACACUAAUUUUAUUCAAACAUCAUACCAUUUUCAUGUGCACUAUGACAUUCAUCAAUCUACUUUCAUAAAUUUAUCGACAUACACAAAAAACAAUUUAACAAUUUUAAUACAUUAAUGGAUAAAUUGAAAAAGAAACCUUCUUAAUAGGAAAAAUCCCAAUUUCAUAUAAAAAUUAUUCAAAAUUACAGAGUAAUUAAACAAUUCAUACAAAUUGCAUACCAAUUUAAUAAUUCAUACCAUAUACACAAUUUAAGAGAUAAUCACAUCAAUGUUAAUAUACAAUUCAUACCAUUUGCAUAUCAAUAUUGUAUCAAAAUUCAUACAAUAUCCAUUAAUCCAACAUUAAAUUCAGAUUCAUACACAUUUUUUUCAGAUUUCGAACAAUAUUUACACAAACAAAUAUUUCGAAAACAACAAUAAGCAUAAUGUGAUAUAAAAAAAUCACUAUUUUGACUACUGUGAAAAUAAAUAAAAUAUAGUACUCAUCCUAACAACUUUUUUUGUGUUUUUUGGAUGUUGAUAUUUCUGAUUCCUCUUUUUUGUUGUUCUUCUUGUUGAUGGUUUUGAAGAUUGAGCAACUUCUACAUUUGUUUUUUUUUCUUUUUUCUUUUUGAUUUCACUAGCAAAAUCAGAAUCGUAAUCAGAAGGGUUUCAAUAAUUUUCCCCUUCCUCUUCUUCCCCUUUUGAUUUGCCUGGAUCGCCCUUUUCUUUGCUUCAUUUUUUUUCUCUUUCCGAUCCUUCAACUGAGAUGAACCACCCGUUGCCUGAUUUUCAAUACUCGCCGGAUUUUCAACAAAUUUAGGCGGGGGGUUGAGUUAAUAUAUUAAAAGUUGGAGCAUGAACUUCAUCAGUAGAAGUUCCUUCAACCAAUCUGGAACUCUUUCGAGGCGUUUCAAUGGGUUUCUUAGACAUGAUUUUGUUGAAAACUUAAUUGGACGGACGAUUGUGAAAAUGGUGUAGUUGGCUGGUGAGAAAAAUGGGAGAGACAAGGUGAAAGUGGGGUAGUGGGGGUGAUGGCGUGUAGAUUUGAAUAGGCGUGGAUGGAGGGUGGUGGGAUUGAGGUAUGGGAGGUUUGGAGUGUAACAUUAAACAAGGAAGUCUAAUCUGUGUAAAUCCCUUAAUAUGUGUAACUGAUGAUUUCAGUUUUAAAAAAGGAAUUGAAAUCUAAUUAAUUAAAUAUUAUUCAUUAAUAAAAUAAAAAUAUAAACAGAUUAAUCAUUUGUUAAAUAAAUUGAAAUUGAUUUUUAAAUUAAAUUAAAUAUAUAUAUAUUAUUUAUAAUAAAAGAACUUGAAAAAAUGACUAUAGUUUAUACUUAAUUAGAGAUCUAUAGUUAUAAUUUGCUUCAUAACAAUUAAUAGCUCUAGGUAAGAAAGAAGAGAAAUCUAAACAAGAUAUAUAUGUAUUUGCUUUUCUAAGAAUAUAUAUAUUCUUUAUAUCGGUAUAGUACUUAUCAUUGAAGUUAUUUAAAUUAUGAACUCCAAAAAAUCAAUCAAAUUGACAAAAACAAGAAUAAAAAAAAGGCGCAGGAAAAAAGGAAGAAAAUAAAAUCUGAAUCAGUAUUAAUUUUUUUAUAUCUAUGUAAUUUUUGUCAAAUAAAAAUCAAGAAUAUGAAAAGAGAAAGGAAAAAAAAAUACAUAAAAGGAGAAUUUAAAAAGUAUUGUUAGAAAGAAAAAAAAGAGAAGUUAUAAUGAAAUGGACCCUCAAUAGUAUAUUUUUGACAUGGUAUACCUCGCCCGCCCUAAAAUUUUCAAUACAACUUAAUUGAUCAUGUGGAUCACACCUGUUAAACAAUAUAGUAUCGACUGUUAUGGUUAUUUAAUGCGAUUAAUUGAAAGCCAAAAUAUCUUGGUGUAUUCUGGACCCAGGACCAAAUUCUAGGGUUUUGGAUUGUUCAGUGAUCGAUUUGGCCAAAUAGUCUUCAUUCCAAUUCAAAGUAUAUAUAUUUCAACUAAUACAAUUAACAUUGGAAAAAUGAAAAUCCUAUUUGCCAAAACCAGACCUUUUAAAAAGUACUUCCUCUCCUCUGUUUAAAAAAUAAUGACUUUCUUUUCUUUUUAGUUUAUUUUUAUAAAAAUGAUCUUUUCUCCUUUUUUGACACAUUUCACAUAACUUUAAUUUUAAAUCACAAAAUAGAGAAGUCUUUUUUAUUUUUCUUCAACUCCGUAACAAGUCAAAUCAGAUCUCUUUUUUUUUUUUUAAACGAGAGGAGUACAAGCGCUAAGUUACAAAGUAAAUGACAAAGAAAAAAAAAGUUUUUAACAAAAACUCUAAAGAGAACCACAUAAUGCUUAUCUUGUCAAAUGUUGUGAAAAACGUGAUGACCUAGCUGUUUGAUUGAUUUUUAGGAAGUUGAGAUUGAGGCUCUUAUUUAAGACACCCUAUCCUAGGUAUAUGGUCACAACAUCUUCUUUCUUCUCUUCCAUCAAAAUGAGGUCAUGUUUCACUAUUCUCUUGUUAUUUUCAGCUAUAGUAGCUGUGGCAUUGGCCUCUAAUGAGGAAGAUCAUCAGGUGAUAAGCCAAGUAGUAGAAAUUCACCGUCUAAGGCCACAAACUGGUUCUGCUGGUUAUACCGUCCCACAAUUGGACUGUCUUAGCUGGCGACUCGCGGUGGAGACGAACAACCUCCAAAACUGGAAAUUGGUGCCUAAAGAAUGUACAAACUAUGUAGGUCAUUACAUGUUAGGCAAACAAUAUCGCCACGACUGUGAAUAUGUAGCCAAGCAGGCUAUUGAGUAUGCCAAAAGCCUCAAACUUAGUGGAGAUGGAAUGGACGUUUGGGUAUUUGAUAUUGAUGAAACCACUCUCUCAAAUUCUCCUUACUACGCUCGAUC
rnacentral:lncRNA from 1 species